rnacentral:lncRNA from 1 species
AGCACAUAGCACUGGCUGGUUAUAAAGGACUUGUCUAGGGGAGAGCCUGUAGGUACUCCAUUGUCUGGUAAAGUUCAUAUGACUGCAUUCUUUUUGCAAGGGGGGUGGAGGGAGAGCGGGGAAGGAGGGGGUGUCAGCUCAACUGUAAAAGCUGCACAGAUUUUUUUUCUUUCUCUCUCUCUGCCUCUCCAUAGAUUGUUUCUGUUUCAUGCCCUGUCUCAUUUCGCAUAGCUAAAAAAGAAUGCUAAUUAAGAUCCCUUGUCUUAACCUGAAAAAUAAUGACUCGGCUGUAAUUAGAAAUCUGGUGAGAGUUUAAAAAUUCUGGUAGGGGACCAAAAACAUCAGUUACGGUGCUUAGGAAGAAAAUGAAGAAUUAUUUUUCUGAAAUCAAGAUGGAUCUGAGAACGCUGUCUGGGCUUGGUACCAAGAGCUGGUAUUUCACAGCAGCGACCGCCUCACAGACGAGCUGUGGGAAGCAGGAGGGAGACUCUCUCUUAGGGUGCCACUACUAUGGAGACACAGCUGGGCUGAACAAGAUUUGCUUCAAACGACAACAAGAGAGACAGAAAGUAUCUGGUUCAACCGCUGCCCGAGCAGGCAGGCACCAGAAGAGCUAGCAGCCAAUCCGGCCAUGCUCGAAGCCAGCUCUGCAGCUCAGCCAAUCAGUGACAUCAUUGCUUUCUUUAGCUUGCCCAUGGUGAUGUGAAGAUGAGAAGAAAUAGCAAGGCCCAACCAGUUCUUCAUCUGGAGACAGUUCAACGUUCUGCAAACCAGGACAGUACUACAGAAGGACUAAGUAUAUAGGAAACUUGACUUAUUUAAAUAAGGCAGUGAAAAAAAUAGAAUAUGGGGAGUAAAACAACCUCUGAAGCUAAGUCUGCAUAUAUAAUAACUGGAUCUUCAGGAAUUUUACUGGGAUAAUUAUCCAAAUAAAUUGCAAGCAUUCUAUCCAAAUGGAGCUCUUUCUGAGAUGAAGAGAAUUCUCAAUGUCAAGAUUUGAACAAGAAGAGAAUGGAAUACACAAUAUGGACAUCCAUAAAAAUUCAUCAGAGAGCAUUUUACUACUGAGCUGCAAAGGGAAAAACUUAAAAUGGAUAUGAAAAGUGAAGAAAGUGAUCAUAGGAGAAAACCAUUUCAGGUAAAAAUAAAAAACAAAGAGCAAAUAAGAUUUACUGUUUUUAAAGAAAAACAACAUUCUUUUGACUGUGUUUUGUUAUAAGAAUUAAUUUCAUAUUCUUUAUGAGUGUAACUGUUGAAAUUUUAUUGAUGGUUUUCAUUUGAAAAUGUGUGCUAUGACCUACCUUUGUGAAAAAUUUCUUGUGGUCAAUUGGGCAGUUUGUGUCCCAUUGAAUAUAUGUCUGUGUAUCCAUACGCUUAAGAUAGGUGCAAUACGGUUUACUAGAAAGCUUUAUAGGAAAAGAAAAAAAUUAUAUUUUCUUAUUUGUUGUACCAUAUAAAAGGAAGUGAAAUCAGGAGGAGGGGAAUAAGGUCAUGCUUUUUCAUCUUUUUUACAUGACCUGAUAAGACAAUGAAACCAAAACAUGCUUUCUUAUAGUUAUGGUAAAACUAAACCCAAUGCUGCCUCUUAUUUCACAUUUGCAUUUAUAAAUAUAUGUUGAAAUAUUUUUACUACAACUGAAUGUAUGAUUGUUGAUUAUUUACUAUAGUUUUUAAUAAUUAUGAGGACAAUUUAAGAAUAAAUAAUGGUUUAAAAUUAUGUAGAACACAUGAUCUAUAUAAAGGCUAUAAAACGUAUUUAUUUCAAAAUAUGCAAAAUCACUAAGCAAUUAGUAUGUAGUAUUAUUUUACACAAUAAAGAUAUAAUUAGGAAAUGCUAAGUGAUUAUAGAUGUGAAAUGAUUAAUGAUUGUACAACUUAUCAUUUUGUUGCAGUUGAGUUUACAAUCUUAAAAAAACGUGUAUGUGGCUGGCUUUAUGUUUACUCGUUUGUGUGUUUGCUUGUUGUCUGGUGGUUUAAAACAUUUUUUAGUAAUAUUUUAUUUUUGCCCAACCUGUUGACCAGAUGAGAGUUGUAUGUAGCCAUGCAUUUUAAGUGUAUCUUUUUUGAACAAUAAGUUUAAAUAUAUUUUAUUUAGGAAAGAAGAUAUCCUAUGUCAUGUAAUACAUCUGGAGUAUAAAUGUUAGUGUGGAGUAUUAGUAAUCAUGCCAUUAUCGUGCCAUUUAGUUUAGUUUUAUAUUAACUCAUCCAAAUAUUGUAAAUUUUAGCACCAUUCCGACUAUAGACACAGAUGUAUAUAUUUAAGGCUGAUAAUAACUUCCUGUAUUCUCUAGCUAGUGAACAAGAUCUUACUGUUUUAUGAGAAAGUUAUAAUGUUACCAAUUCCUUGAAACCAGUAACUAAACUAGUUUUAUAAAAAUUAAAAUAAGCACGGUCUAACUCAUACACAAUUAACUUAAUAGUUAAUUUGGUUUUAAUUAUAGGCUCGUAAUACUACAUUCAUGCCUCACAAUUAUAUAAUUCAUACAUGCAUGUAUGGAUUCUUUUUUCUUUUAAAACUCAAUUAGAAUAGUUUAAUUCCAAAAUAUUUACUAUUGAAACAAAAGCAGUUCGUGAAAAAUUUUUCAAUAAACUACUUUUUAAAUUCUCAUGCAUAUAAAUUUGUAUUUAGUUUUGAAUAUUUAUGAAGGCCUUUAAUGGAGAAUAUGCAUCCUUAGAACUCAGCAUUUAAAACAUUUAUACUAAAGGAUCAAUAUUAUUUUUGACUCUUAAUUGCAUCAGAUAUUUACAACAAAUUCUAUAUUAAUAGGGGGCCCAUGCAAGAUGUUGCCCAUUGGCAUAAACCCGUAGAUCCGAUCUUGUGGUGAAGUGGACCGCACAAGCUCGCUUCUAUGGGUCUGUGUCAGUGUGGUAAUCUGACAAAAUGCUAUACACAGUGCCGUUCAACAAUAGUUCAGUAAAAUCCUGUUAAACUCCAGUUGAUUAUAUACUUUUGAAGUCAUUAUAUUUUCCUUUGUUUUUAAUGUUUAUUUUAAUCAUUGUCUGUCUUACAAGGCAGGCUUCAAUUCUCAACAACUUGGAAGCGUUUAUAUCACACCCAUUCAAGUUCGAUUCCAUGUACAGUAAAUUGCAUAAGAAAGUUGAACCUUUAUAGCAGGGUUUGGACCAGGAUCUGAAUAGAUUCUGUUCAGAAACUUCAGUGCAUACUGUAGUGCUUAGUGUACCUCUUCAACUUCAGUAAGAAAAUUAAAGACUACCAUUGGAUUUAUAUGUUUUUAUUGAGCCUAUUUCUCCUGAAAAAAUGAGGCUGAAUGCAAUUGACUUUUACUAUUAAUUGCGACUAGAACUAUGGCAGGUUAGAUGGUCAGAAGACAUUUUACGUGACCUAUGCUGGAAACCCAAGUGUUUAGGUUAGUCCUAUGAGAAACAGUUAGCAGCAAAGUUUACUGGUAAAAUGUUAGAAUAUUAUAUCUAUAUCCUUGCCAAGCCCUUAGGUGUAUGGCUGCCAUAUUUGGAGGAGCUGACUGAAGAUAUGAUAAGGAGUUUGAAGCAACAUUGGAAGCUGU